CAGUGGCGAAGGCGCUCUACUGGGCCGUAACUGACGCUGAGGGACGAAAGCUAGGGGAGCGAAAGGGAUUAGAUACCCCUGUAGUCCUAGCUGUAAACGAUGGAUACUAGGUGUUGGACGUAUCGACCCGUUCAGUACCGCAGCCAACGCGAUAAGUAUCCCGCCUGGGGAGUACGCACGCAAGUGUGAAACUCAAAGGAAUUGACGGGGGCCCGCACAAGCGGUGGAGUAUGUGGUUUAAUUCGAUGCAACGCGAAGAACCUUACCAGGGCUUGACAUCCCUCGAAUCCUCUUGAAAGAGAGGAGUGCCUUCGGGAGCGAGGAGACAGGUGGUGCAUGGCUGUCGUCAGCUCGUGUCGUGAGAUGUUGGGUUAAGUCCCGCAACGAGCGCAACCCACGUCCUUAGUUGCCAUCAUUAAGUUGGGCACUCUGGGGAGACUGCCGGGGACAACUCGGAGGAAGGUGUGGAUGACGUCAAGUCAUCAUGCCCCUUACGUUCUGGGCUACACACGUACUACAAUGCUUCGGACAAAGAGCAGCCAACUAGCGAUAGUGAGCUAAUCUCAUAAACCGAGGCACAGUUCAGAUUGCAGGCUGCGACUCGCCUGCAUGAAGGAGGAAUCGCUAGUAAUCGCCGGUCAGCAUACGGCGGUGAAUACGUUCCCGGGCCUUGUACACACCGCCCGUCACACCAUGGGAGUUGGCCACGCC
rnacentral:rRNA from 1 species